rnacentral:sRNA from 1 species
UGAGCGGUAUCGUAAAACCUGGUGACUUUGGUUGUUCGUAGAACAGCCUAGCCUUUCCUGAAACGGAACGGGACAGAAUGAAAUCAAAGCCCAGGGUGAGCCGCUCC